GUAACACAUAAUUCAAUAAUUGGCAUCAAUUUGUUUGUUACCUAUGUUAAAAGCAUUAAGUUUGUUGUGAACAGUAGUAUUUAAAACUCUUAAACGUUCCAAAUGUAAAAAUAAAGUUUAGCACAUGUUUUAUUAAUACAAAUGAACAUAUAGAAUAAUGUUGUACAUUCAAUUCAUAAUAGAUUUAUUUCUAUACACUGCUAGUGAAAAAUUGUCAGAGUUUGUAAUAAGUAAACUGUUCAUGUCAAUUUGGUUUCUGUAAUGCAAUACCACAACAAGCGGUCCAAUGAGAACAAGAUACAAUAACAAAUUUUGAAGAACCAGAAAAAAAUAGAGCAUGAUUUUCAUACAAACAAAGUUCAAUCAAACAAAUAACAGAUUUUUUUUUAUCAAAAUGUUUAAAUUAAAUUCCAAAAUAAUGAUUUAAUGAAUUAGUUUAAAUAAAUAAAUGUUUAUACCUUUC